UAACUUGCUUUACCGGAUAGUCGAAUUA
rnacentral:sRNA from 1 species